rnacentral:sRNA from 1 species
AUUCAGAAAAUGAAUAUGUGUUUCCAGACCUCCUGGAGUUACAAUUGCCCCCUCCAGUGCAACCAGUUCAGUUGCCUGUCCGACAAUAAGCCCCGGUGUGAUUUUUUGCGUAUGCGGAUUGCCGCUCUUUCCAAUCCCUACGAUUUUCCCGUCUUUCACACCGAUAUCACACUUGAUGACGCCGAUUGUCGGAUCGACCAAAACCGCAUUUGUAAAGGCGACAUCCAGAGCACCUUCGGCAGA